CCUACGGGAGGCAGCAGUGAGGAAUAUUGGUCAAUGGACGAGAGUCUGAACCAGCCAAGUAGCGUGAAGGAUGACUGCCCUAUGGGUUGUAAACUUCUUUUAUAUGGGAAUAAAAUGUUCCACGUGUGGGAUUUUGUAUGUACCAUAUGAAUAAGGAUCGGCUAACUCCGUGCCAGCAGCAGCGGUAAUACGGAGGAUCCGAGCGUUAUCCGGAUUUAUUGGGUUUAAAGGGAGCGUAGGUGGAUUGUUAAGUCAGUUGUGAAAGUUUGCGGCUCAACCGUAAAAUUGCAGUUGAAACUGGCAGUCUUGAGUACAGUAGAGGUGGGCGGAAUUCGUGGUGUAGCGGUGAAAUGCUUAGAUAUCACGAAGAACUCCGAUUGCGAAGGCAGUUCACUGGACUGCAACUGACACUGAGGCUCGAAAGUGUGGGUAUCAAACAGGAUUAGAUACCCGUGUAGUC
rnacentral:rRNA from 1 species